CAGCCAGAGAGGUGCAGCACUAGGCUGGCAGCCCUUGGAGAAGGUGCGCAUCCGGGAGAGGGAGGCUGCCUGCAUGGCCCCAACAGGGGCCCCCAGAAUGGGGAAAGAGGACUGGAAGGGGUUGCCCACCGAAGGGGGUGUCUAUCGACUGUAACAGCAACUCCAUGUGGAAGCUUGAGGUUGUUCCCGUGGGGGGGCUGUUAUUUUGGAUGGGCACUCAAGAGCUGCUUCGUCCCCCCGUCUGGACAAUGAAGAAGAGACCAGACUGUGACCCUCCCAUCUACUGGAUCAUAAAUGGACGCAACCCACUGGAUUAUGAAUUGAUGCGAACCAUUGGAUGUAAAUGGAUGCAAAUCACUGGGUAUGAAUGGAUGGGAUCCACUGGAUCAUAAAUUGAUGCCAAUCCACCGGAUCACAUAUCGAUGCAAUCCGGUAAACGGUAAAUUGAUGCAACCCACUGGGUGUACACUGAUGGGAUCCAUUGGAUCACAAAUUGGUACAGUCCACUGGAUCAUGCAGUAAAUCGAUGCAACCCACUGGAUCACACACUGAUGCAAUCCGGUGGAUGUAAAUGGAUGCAACCCAUGGGACUGCGAAUUGAUGCUGGGUGUAAAUUGAUGGGACCCCCUGGAUCAUAAAUUGAUGCAACCCGUUA